rnacentral:miRNA from 13 species
UGCAUCACGUGUGACCUGCCCA